UAUUAAUUAAAUUGAAUUCUGAUUAUAGAUAUAAUACUACAAUGUAAGUUGUAAAAGCUACGAUGCGAAGCGAUUAAUCAAAUUUGUCCACAUUUACAGGUCUUUUGAUUAUUGCGGGAAUACUGUGUGCAAGCGGAAUAUCAGAAUGCCUUGAAUGCUUCAAUUGUCUAAAUAUCACUGAACCACGGACGUGUACAAACACGUCUCAAUGUUCAAAUAGUGAGUCCUGUUAUUUGCAAACGCUCCACUCCGGCAAUGAAGUACAUUACGACAUGGGCUGUCAGAACAAUCAGUUGUGCAGCUCAAUGGCCGUUGGCCCCAACGGUAUCAUUGGUCGCUCUAUAAGGACCAGACAGCAGUACUCUUGUUUUGAAUGUUGCAGCAGUAACCGUUGCAACGAGAAUCUAUGUGCACAUAGAAAACCUUGAAUCGACGACGAAACACUUGACUGUGCCCGUCUGAACUCCAUUUUUGAAGUCUGUGGUGAUGUUCAUCACGCCAAAACUACUUGUCAUAAGUUUUGCGGACUCUGUGAUCUCGUUGAUGGAAACUGCGGAAACUGGGGAGAGUGGACUUCAUGCUCCGUAUCGUGUAGUAACGGAGCGAAAACCCGCACAAGGACCUGUUCAAACUCGUCUCCUUCCAACAAUGGACUUAACUGCACUGGGGCUGAUGUUGAGUAAAAACCGUGUUCGAACCAGCUUUGUCCGGGUAUGAAUAUGUUCAAGCACAUUGAACCCUGCAGCGCCAUUGGUAAGUAUCAAUUGUAUUAUAAUGCAAAGUUCGUCGAAAAAGAAUCAACUAGUUUUUUUAUAAUGUAUAAAUCAGAAGCUUCAUACCCGUAGGUAAUAUCAGUUUGUGUUAAUACAAUAUGUGAGUUAAAGGUGUAUUUAAUAAAGUACGACAAGACGUGAGAGGGGCAAUCACGAUUCUACUGUGUGUGUCAACGCACCAUGUAGGUAAAUACGUAUAAUACAGUUUAUACGAGAGAAUAUAUUUUUAAAUCACUGCGUUUGUUGAUGUCAGUUUACGUGAUAACAAUAAAUUAAUAACAGGCGAUUGAUAGCAUUAUUGUGAUAAGUCAAGAUGCCACGCUCCUUUUAUAUUGAAUGGCUGUAAAGGUAAUCAGUAUUGUGGUGUGCGGAAAUUUAGUAAAAACUUACAUAAAAGUGUCAACAAUGCUGGUUUUUUGAUAGUUUCUCGACGUUUUGGAACCGAUUUCUAAUUGCUGCAAAUCACUGCAUGUGCGUGCAGUGUAAACUGCGUUAUUAAUCGGGCAUUUGUUAUUUCGGGCAUGAUGUUCACAAUUCAAUGUUGGUUAAACAAGCGAUGUUGAGUUAAUUGGUAAAAAUUGCGAUGUCUUAUAUGUAACACUGUUUUAACCAAACUUCACAUUGAUACAUUAUCUGACAUCAUUUCGUAUCUAAGGAAUCUAGUUGAAAAAUAUGUUAUUUUUCAAGCACACGGGAACUGGUCAGAUUGGUCCAUGUGGUCUGAUUGCUCAGUUACUUGUGAUGUGGGACUUCUUAA